AGUGCGAACCAUAGAGAGAGACAAGGGAGAGUGAGAUAAGAGAGCCAUGUUAACAAUAGUGACAAGCCCUCGACAGGAGCCGCGCGAACUAACCGAGCGAGGACUUCGCACGGGCCGUUCAAAUAAAUACACGUUUUUAUUUUUUUGUUAUAAAUACGUAAAAACUAAACAACAAAAAGCUAAUUUAUUAAAUAUGAAGUAGACAAACUCACAUGAACGGAACUUUUUUUAAAUUUCAUACGCUAUUUUCCUUGUUUCUGAUGAUAGCGCCCUUUGUUAUCCUAUGGAAAGAAAUUAAUUUCAAUGAUGGAAAAAGUGAAUUGUUACAUUAAAAAAACACUAUCGAAACUUAAAUUAAAUACGGCUUUCUGUAUAUUUAAGAGUGGAUAGUUUUUGGUAAAUACGCGCAAAAAAGCGCCUCAGGUUUUAGCGCUCUUAACCUCAAUGAUUGUUGCGCGUAAAAGUUAGUGAUUUUGUGCCAAAAAUGGGGCUCUAAACUAAAAACCAGCCUACAUAAAUGCUGAUUUCUAUCAUUGAAACACCAGCUCAUACUGGCUGCCUUAGUUGUAAAAUUGAAUUUUUCCUGUGCGUAGGGGGCAAAGUUUAAAGUUCGCCGUAGUUGCUGAUACCAAACAGCCUUCUAGUGAAUUAAGUAAAUAAAGUGCUGUAAAUUCUGAAAAAAAUCCCAAAUUUCUCUCGGCGAUAAUUCCUCGACAUUCGUUUGCAGAAAUCAUGUCUUCAGCGCAGAGAAGUCGCGUGAUCAAUUUAUACAAAACACUGUUGCAUCUGGGUAAAGAUUGGCCAGCCGGCUAUGAAUUGUUCCGGUCGCGAUUGCAUGGGGCCUUUUUGAAAAACCGCGCCGAAACCGAUGGGGAAAAGGUGGAAAAGAUGAUCAAGCACGGGGAGUUUGUGACCAAAGAGGUGGAGGCACUGUACAUGCUGAAAAAAUACCGCACCAUGAAGCGCCGCUAUUACAACGACAAUUCCUAGCGUGAUUUGGGAAAAAAUACAGCCUUCGUCAACAGGAAAGGUGAUAUGGUUUAUUACGCCUAAUAGCUUAACAAGAGCGACAGAUUGCCACAGUUUAUUUUAAAUUUUACAUUUUAUAUUAUCUUUUUAUUGUUCAUUUUAAAACAACUCAGAUCGUUAACUGAAUAAACACUAUACAACA